UGGGGAAUAUUGCGCAAUGGGUGGAAGCCUGAUGCAGCGACGCCGCGGGGGGGAUGACGGUCUUCGGGUUGUAAAACUCUUUUGACUUCGACGAAGCAUUCGGGGGACGGUAGGGGUGGAAGAAGCACCGGCCAACUACGGGCCAGCAGCCGCGGUAACACGUAGGGUGCGAGCGUUGUCCGGAAUUAUUGGGGGUAAAGAGCUCGUAGGCGGUGUGUCGCGUCGGCCGUGAAAACCUGUGGCUUAACUAUGGGCUUGCGGUCGAUACGGGAAUCACUGGAGUUCGGCAGGGGGGACUGGAAUUCCUGGUGUAGCGGUGAAAUGCGCAGAUAUCAGGAGGAACACCGGUGGCGAAGGCGUGUCUCUGGGCCGAUACUGACGCUGAGGAGCGAAAGCGUGGGGAGCGAACAGG
rnacentral:rRNA from 1 species